GAUGAACGCUGGCGGCGUGCCUAAUACAUGCAAGUCGAGCGAACAGACGAGGAGCUUGCUCCUCUGACGUUAGCGGCGGACGGGUGAGUAACACGUGGAUAACCUACCUAUAAGACUGGGAUAACUUCGGGAAACCGGAGCUAAUACCGGAUAAUAUAUUGAACCGCAUGGUUCAAUAGUGAAAGACGGUUUUGCUGUCACUUAUAGAUGGAUCCGCGCCGCAUUAGCUAGUUGGUAAGGUAACGGCUUACCAAGGCAACGAUGCGUAGCCGACCUGAGAGGGUGAUCGGCCACACUGGAACUGAGACACGGUCCAGACUCCUACGGGAGGCAGCAGUAGGGAAUCUUCCGCAAUGGGCGAAAGCCUGACGGAGCAACGCCGCGUGAGUGAUGAAGGUCUUCGGAUCGUAAAACUCUGUUAUAGGGAAGAACAAAUGUGUAAGUAACUAUGCACGUCUUGACGGUACCUAAUCAGAAAGCCACGGCUAACUACG
rnacentral:rRNA from 1 species